GUGCCUAAUACAUGCAAGUCGAACGAGUUCUGAUUAUUGAAAGGUGCUUGCAUCUUGAUUUAAUUUUGAACGAGUGGCGGACGGGUGAGUAACACGUGGGUAACCUGCCCUUAAGUGGGGGAUAACAUUUGGAAACAGAUGCUAAUACCGCAUAAAUCCCAAAACCGCAUGGUUCUUGGCUGAAAGAUGGCGUAAGCUAUCGCUUUUGGAUGGACCCGCGGCGUAUUAGCUAGUUGGUGAGGUAACGGCUCACCAAGGCAAUGAUACGUAGCCGAACUGAGAGGUUGAUCGGCCACAUUGGGACUGAGACACGGCCCAAACUCCUACGGGAGGCAGCAGUAGGGAAUCUUCCACAAUGGACGCAAGUCUGAUGGAGCAACGCCGCGUGAGUGAAGAAGGCUUUCGGGUCGUAAAACUCUGUUGUUGGAGAAGAAUGGUCGGCAGAGUAACUGUUGUCGGCGUGACGGUAUCCAACCAGAAAGCCACGGCUAACUACGUGCCAGCAGCCGCGGUAAUACGUAGGUGGCAAGCGUUAUCCGGAUUUAUUGGGCGUAAAGCGAGCGCAGGCGGUUUUUUAAGUCUGAUGUGAAAGCCCUCGGCUUAACCGAGGAAGUGCAUCGGAAACUGGGAAACUUGAGUGCAGAAGAGGACAGUGGAACUCCAUGUGUAGCGGUGAAAUGCGUAGAUAUAUGGAAGAACACCAGUGGCGAAGGCGGCUGU
rnacentral:rRNA from 1 species